rnacentral:lncRNA from 1 species
ACCCAAAAGCGUUCCUCCAGACGUCUAGAAGGAAAGGAGAUAGAGAGGGAAAAGAAAAGCAAGAAGAGAAUUCAGGAAGGAAAAGAAUUUUAAUCCGCCAAAAGGCUGUGCUUUUUAUCUAUAUCUGGACCGGGAGCGUCCAAGUAAACCUCGAAAAGGCUGCCUCAUGAAGUCCAAAAAAAAGUAUACAUAUGCCGACGAUAUAUAUGAGACGUGAGGGUGACC